rnacentral:rRNA from 1 species
GGCUCAGGAUGAACGCUGGCGGCGUGCCUAAUACAUGCAAGUCGAACGCACAGCGAAAGGUGCUUGCACCUUUCAAGUGAGUGGCGAACGGGUGAGUAACACGUGGAUAACCUACUCAAGGUUGGGGAUAACAUUUGGAAACAGAUGCUAAUACCGAAUAAAACUUCGUAUCGCAUGAUACAAGGUUAAAAGGCACUACGGCGUCACCUAGAGAUGGAUCCGCGGUGCAUUAGUUAGUUGGUGGGUAAAGGCCUACCAAGACAAUGAUGCAUAGCCGAGUUGAGAGACUGAUCGGCCACAUUGGGACUGAGACACGGCCCAAACUCCUACGGGAGGCUGCAGUAGGGAAUCUUCCACAAUGGGCGAAAGCCUGAUGGAGCAACGCCGCGUGUGUGAUGAAGGCUUUCGGGUCGUAAAGCACUGUUGUAUGGGAAGAACAGCUAGAGUAGGGAAUGACUUUAGUUUAAGACGGUACCAUACCAGAAAGGGACGGCUAAAUACGUG